UACGUAGGGUGCAAGCGUUGUCCGGAAUUAUUGGGCGUAAAGAGCUCGUAGGCGGUUUGUCGCGUCUGGUGUGAAAAUCCAGGGCUUAACCCUGGACCUGCAUCGGGUACGGGCAGACUAGAGUGCGGUAGGGGAGAUCGGAAUUCCUGAUGUAGCGGUGAAAUGCGCAGAUAUCAGGAGGAACACCGGUGGCGAAGGCGGAUCUCUGGGCCGUAACUGACGCUGAGGAGCGAAAGCAUGGGGAGCGAACAGG
rnacentral:rRNA from 1 species